AUUGAACGCUGGCGGCAGGCUUAACACAUGCAAGUCGAGCGGGGUGAUGGUGCUUGCACUAUCACUUAGCGGCGGACGGGUGAGUAAUGCUUAGGAAUCUGCCUAUUAGUGGGGGACAACAUCUCGAAAGGGAUGCUAAUACCGCAUACGUCCUACGGGAGAAAGCAGGGGAUCACUUGUGACCUUGCGCUAAUAGAUGAGCCUAAGUCGGAUUAGCUAGUUGGUGGGGUGAAGGCCUACCAAGGCGACGAUCUGUAGCGGGUCUGAGAGGAUGAUCCGCCACACUGGGACUGGGACACGGGCCAGACUCCUACGGGAGGCAGCAGUGGGGAAUAUUGGACAAUGGGGGGAACCCUGAUCCAGCCAUGCCGCGUGUGUGAAGAAGGCCUUAUGGUUGUAAAGCACUUUAAGCGAGGAGGAGGCUCUUUUGGUUAAUACCCAAGAUGAGUGGACGUUACUCGCAGAAUAAGCACCGGCUAACUCUGUGCCAGCAGCCGCCGCGG
rnacentral:rRNA from 1 species